GAAUGUCAUUGACAUUUUAUCAGAGGGGCGGGCACGAUUUAGGAAUGGUAUCGUGGAACCAAUGAGAUUCGGGAGAAAGGAGUUGCAACGCACUAAGCACGCCCCUCAAAGGCAAAGACAAAUCGGAAACGGGAACGGAGGCGGAAACAUGCAAAUAAAAAGCCCCGCCCCUUAUUCUUCAUUGUAUCUCUUUAUUGGUUGUCCAGGUGGUUCAAAAAAGUUUCACUUUCCUCCAGGAAGCUGAGUUGUUGCGUAGUGUGACGAUGCUAUCCUACAAGGUACUUAAGAAGCAUUUUUUAGUGCAAAGUCCAUGUGUUCCUCCACAACCUUGAAUAAAAGAUGGAUCAUGCUCCAAUGGGCUAGCAGGAUCAUGCAUUUGCCAGAGCUCCCGGGGCCAGCAGUGGACACCCAGGAAAGGUGCAGGCAAUGUGAAGCAAUGCUCGGUUUUGCUGGAGUCUGCCUCCCUCUCCUAAAUCCUGGCAUUCUCCCUGUUGUUUUUCUGGGAAACUAUGCAUGCUGCCAGGGCAACAAAUAUGCGAGCUUUGCUCGGAAGAACUCUCUUUCACAGAUAAGGCUUCCAUUUCUUGCCAUAGUGCUGGCUGUACCUGCCUCGCAUAAUAUAUAAGGAGUGUGGCUGGCUACAGAUAGUUCCUGCCUAACUCAUGCUGAUUAAAGAAUCCAGGAAACAUGGGGGAAAUACAUCAUACUCUGUUUGGAAUAAUCAGUAAGAGUAACCUCAAGUUUUAGAACUGUAGAAAGAAAAAAGAAAAAACCUUGAAAGGAUUUUUUUUAAAAAGGGGGGGGGGCACUAUGCUGUGCCAGACCAGCAAAGGUCAAUCAAUCUAGAUGGGAUCCAUUAGUUGCUUACUUCCAGGAAGCAGGGGAAAGGAAAUACAGCUGUGAGAUAGGUGAUAAGUUAACUUGUAAAGAAAUUCAAGUAAAAAUGCACUGCACAAUGUAUCUGACCACAGGGAGGUAAAACCUGGCAUUUGGCCUUGGGAGAUUCCUCUGUGCUGUCUCAGCCUAGCGCCAAAGCAUUACUGACCCAUCACAGACAGUUCUUGAGUCCUAGCCUCGCCUGCAGAAUCACUUUCCCCUGACUGCCUCACAUCCAAAUGCAGUAGACCUGCUUACAUGUUACCCCUUACUGACUGGAGGAAGGGCUCCCCAUCUUUCUCCCUUCUGGAAAGAAGUCUGCAAACUAAUCUUGUUGAUAUUGUCCUAUUGUCCUAGUUGAACAGCUGUUGGGACAGCUGGCAAUAACCUGCCAAUCCAAUGCGACAGGAUGCAGCAGAGUGCAGUAAAGGGCAGAAGAAUCACUGAAUGCCAUCCAGAGCAAGCUUACUAUGGAGAAAUCCUGCUGCGACCCAAAGUUGCAGUCUUUUUAUCUGGGGACAUGUUUCAAUCAAGGAUAACAUGCUUCAUAUAUAUAGGCUGCAAAUGCAUGCAGCUCUCCCUGGAUUGCAUCUGUUGGCUGAAUGUACUUGGUUGGGUGUGCUGGAAUGGGGAAUGAUUGCAAGACAAACAGCCCGCUUGAAAUGGCAUGUGCUUGUAAAAUACGUUAAUGUGACACAGAUGAGCCUGGUUCCAACAUAAAUCCUCCCUCCCAGAGUUGUUUCUUAGAUCUAGAGCUUGAUACUAAUUAUAAAAAGAUUCACUUCUUCUCAAGAAACCCCAGAUGUGUUUGUAAGAAGGGACCAAAAACCUCAGGGGAGCAACCACUUCUGUUAUGUAUAUAUCCCAGCAGUUUUCUGAGCAAACAAACUCAGAAGACUUGUCCAUCUGAACAGUGGAUGCCGGGGCUUUCUGGCCUGCUACGCUUCAGCAUGCUGGGUUUUCCUUCCCCCAAAUGAUCUUGCAUUGUACCAUCAAAACAAACAGUCAACUUUCUAAACUUUUCCCUUACUUACGGUCAUAAAAUUAUACGGCGGUCUCUCCCCCAUCUAACUCCAGUCAGCAGCAAUCUCUUGACGUUCCAGGCAGGAGGAAAAACCCUUAGAUCCUGUCCUCCUUUCCUUGGGGUGGGGGGAGGAAGGGAGGUGAAGAAAAGCAGCCCUCUCGGCAGGAUCUUUGGGUGUGGGAAGCAGGAAAGGCCAGAGGUCAAAAGGAAAUCUGUCUACUUUUACUUUACUGAAUAUUUCUGCUGGUUUCAGUUAUCAUACAAAGCAUUGCUUUUUAGGGCAAUACUGUAAUUAAAUUAACCGGUUCACUUUAUCCAAAUGCCUCCCCUCACCUUUGCAAAGAGGGACUUUCUGGGUAGCUCCUGGUCGACCCCUCCCUAGUGAGUGAUAGAACCAUUCCUUACACACCCUCUCUUUCAAGGCACAGGGCAGUGGUGUGGGAGCCAAAAGAAAGCUUGAUUUGCUUUGGUACAGGCAAUACUUUUUCUUCCUACCUGCAAAUGAUAGGCCUGAGUAAUACUAUAGAACCUGAUUGCCUCCGCAUACUUUCACACACGCAUUCUUAACUCUUCCUUCAAGUCCGUGCGGGCAAGCAACACCAGACAUGGUAUUCUUCUUAUGUACAAUCUCUAAAAGGAUUCUCUAAAAAGUUAAUGUCUGAGGAGCAGAUCCUCAACAUUUCUCUCCUUCCCUGCAUCUCCUGUGUGGCACUUUGCUCCUUGGUCUCUUUUGCAGUAGGUAAUUCAGACUGCCUUAGCAUCCUCUUCCUUCAGAGAAAGGCACAGCAGUUGGUCUGCCUCUUCUGUGACUCAAUGUAGUCAUGGAUUUGGAACCUGGGCUCGUCCAGCUGCUUCACAGCUCGCUGCUUGAGCUCUCUGGAAAUCAAACAGUCAAAAAGCUGCUCAGAAACAAUUUUGGAAGGAGGAACUCUUCCUCCCACAGAAAAGUUCUCCUGGGCUUCUGGGAGAUUUUGUUUUUCUUAAAACACAGUGUCCAAAGUAACUGUGCUUAAUCUCUACCCCUGCCUCUGCUCAGAAAUAGAUGCUAUGCACAACUCCUUCCUACUCUGCCAUGACCUCAAAAACCAGCUACACCAUUUCCUGGAUGUUUCAUUUUAACACAAAGACUAUGAAGAGUUCCAGAAAGAACACAUCAAAUUGUCUGGUCUUGUUCUAGAAUUCCCACUUGAAGAAGAAGAGCAUCAGGAAGAAGAGCAACAGAACCAGGCACCCAGCAGAAGCUUGCCCUCAGGGAAUUAUCUAUCUGUCACCUACCUACCUACCUUUCAAUUUAUAUGGCCACCCAUCUCAAAUUCAUGACUGUGAGCUAACAGCAGUUAUAAAUACCACAUAAUAACCUAUAACAAUAAAUAAUGCAUACAUAAUUGGCAACUGAGGUAAAUCACCAAACAACCAACAACAAAUCAACAUAACCCUUGCACGAGCUCCGUCACUGAUAAUGCCCUGUUGACUCCAAUUGAUUUCGCGUUCAAGCCAGCCUAUGGAUUGCUGGCAUGUGCUUCUCCUCUGCCAAGAUUUUAAUGCUUUAUUUAUUUA